rnacentral:rRNA from 1 species
GAUGAACGCUAGCGAUAGGCCUAACACAUGCAAGUCGAGGGGCAUCACAUGAAGUAGCAAUACGGAUGGUGGCGACCGGCGCACGGGUGAGUAACACGUAUGCAACCUGCCUUCAACAAGGGGAUAACCCGUUGAAAGACGGACUAAUACCCUAUAACACAGGGGUCCCGCAUGGGAAUAUUUGUUAAAGGACAACCGGUUGAAGAUGGGCAUGCGUUCCAUUAGCUAGUUGGCGGGGUAAGGGCCCACCAAGGCAACGAUGGAUAGGGGAACUGAGAGGUUUAUCCCCCACACUGGUACUGAGACACGGACCAGACUCCUACGGGAGGCAGCAGUGAGGAAUAUUGGUCAAUGGACGCAAGUCUGAACCAGCCACGUCGCGUGAAGGAAGACGGCCCUACGGGUUGUAAACUUCUUUUGCAAGGGAAUAAAGUGGGCCACGUGUGGCCUUUUGCAAGUACCUUGCGAAUAAGGAUCGGCUAACUCCGUG